UACGUAGGUGGCGAGCGUUGUCCGGAGUUACUGGGCGUAAAGGGCGUGUAGGCGGCUAUUUAAGUCAGGCGUGAAAUCUCUGGGCUUAACCCAGAAAUUGCGUUAGAAACUGGAUGGCUUGAGGACCGGAGAGGGCAGUGGAAUUCCCAGUGUAGCGGUGAAAUGCGUAGAUAUUGGGAGGAACACCAGUGGCGAAGGCGACUGCCUGGACGGCACCUGACGCUGAGGCGCGAAAGCUAGGGGAGCGAACGGG
rnacentral:rRNA from 1 species